rnacentral:rRNA from 1 species
AUGCAUUUCUGUUCGUUUCCACGAGAUAGGAAAACCUACCACUCCGCCGCCGCCGCCGCCGCCGUCACUACCACACACACACACACACACACACACAAGCAGAGCAGGAUGAGCUCCCAACCGGCGGCCGCACGAGCAGCAGCGACGCAUCUCCUCCCUGGCCUCCCGGAUGAGGUCGUGGUCUGGGAGAUCCUCGUCCGCCUGCCCCCCAAAGCCCUCCUCCGCUGCCGCGCCGUCCGCCGCGCCUGGCGCCUUGCCACCUCCACCCGCGACUUCCUCCUCGCCCACCACGCCCGCCAGCCCACCGCCCCCCUCCUCCACGGCUACAACUGCGCCGGCGACGUCGUUGAUUCCCUAGACAUCAUUCCGUUGGACAACGUAGCAGGGGCCGACGCCGCCGACCAGCUCCAGUACAGCGCGCGACCUGGCAUUCGCAGCGUUUACGGCCACGGCCUCGUGCUCCACGACUCCUGCGAUGGGCUCCUCCUCCUCUCCCUCUACAGCACGCACUCCGUCUACAACCCGGCAACUCGUCAGUAUGCUCCCCUCCAGCAGCUUAAUGGCUUUAUGCCCUUGGGGAUGUACCGGCACGGCCCUACCGGCGAGUACCGAUUGCUGCUGCACCCGUUCCGGAGGUCGGUGGCGCCUGACGCUCAAGAUGGCGCCCACGUCUUCUCUUUAGGCUCCGGCCAGCUGCCAAGGUACAUAGGGUGCUCUGAUACACAGGAAUUGAUACACAUUUCAGCUGGAUCUGUCCUGUUCCAUGGUAGCCUGCAUUGGUACAUGAACCGCAUUGUAAUGGUAUUUGACACCAUUGCUGAGUCGUUCCGGUCGAUGCGAUGUCCGAUUGUAAUUGGCUGCGAGGACCUGUUUGAGAUGGGUGACAUGCUUGGCAUGUUUAGUCUCAACUAUGAAGGGACAAGCGUUGAAAUCUGGGCGAUGCAGGACUACGAAGCCGAGAUCUGGGCCUUAAAGUACCGGGUCGAAUUUCCGGUUGCGGAGAUCAGCUUGCAAUGUGGAAAGUUUGACCAUCAUUGGGAGGUGAUUGUCACGUCAUGGGACAGUGAUGUGCUCGUGCUGCUCCGGUUUGAUGAUUGGCUACUUCAGGUUGGCAUGGAAGGCCAGUUGGUUGCCAGUUUCCAUCGCAAAGGCCUCCGUCCUACUCGACUUCGGCUCAAACAAAGUCUAGUUUCACAUGCCUUCUUUCCGACACUGGAGGGUUAUGUUGUGAACGGCUCGCCUUUCAUCAGAUGA